rnacentral:rRNA from 1 species
UACGAAGGGGGCUAGCGUUGCUCGGAAUUACUGGGCGUAAAGGGCGCGUAGGCGGGUCGUUAAGUUGGGGGUGAAAGCCCAGGGCUCAACCCUGGAAUUGCCUUCAAUACUGGCGACCUUGAGUAUGGCAGAGGUGUGUGGAACUCCGAGUGUAGAGGUGAAAUUCGUAGAUAUUCGGAAGAACACCAGUGGCGAAGGCGGCGACCUGGUCCUUUUACUGACGCUGAGGCGCGAAAGCGUGGGGAGCAAACAGG